rnacentral:ncRNA from 1 species
GAUUGAGCCUUGGUAUGGAACCUACCAAGUGAGAACUUUCAAAUUCAGAGAAACCCUGGAAUUAAAAAUGGGCGAUCCUGAGCCAAAUCCUGUUUUAUUAAAACAAACAAGGGUUUCAUAAACCGAGAAUAAAAAAGGAUAGGUGCAGAGACUCAAUGGAAGCUGUUCUAACAAAUGGAGUUGGCUGCAUUGUGUUAGUAAAGGAAUCCUUACAUCGAAACUUCCGAAAGGAUGAAGGAUAAACCUAUAUGCAUACGUAUAGUACUGCAAUACUAUCUCCAAAUGAUUAAUGACGGCUCGAAUCUGUAUUUUUUUAUAUUUAUAUGAAAAACGAAAGAAUUGUUGUGAAUCGAUUAAAAAUUUAAAAAAGAAUCGAAUAUUCAUUGAUCAAAUCAUUCACUCCAUCAUAGUCUGAUAUAUCUUUUUAAGAAUUGAUUAAUCGGACGAGAAUAAAGAUAGAGUCCCAUUAUACAUGUCAAUAUCGACAACAAUGAAAUUUAUAGUAAGAGGAAAAUCCGUCGACUUUAGAAAUCGUGAGGGUUCAAGUCCCUCUAUCCCCAAAACGAAACGGUUGACUCCCUAA